AGGCAGUAACAGCCACUUGAGUCUACGAUUUCCGAAUGGGGAAACCCACUGGCAUAAGCCAGUAUCAUUGAGUGAAUACAUAGCUCAAUGAAGCGAACCGGGAGAACUGAAACAUCUAAGUACCCCGAGGAAAAGAAAUCAACCGAGAUUCCGAAAGUAGCGGCGAGCGAAAUUGGAUUAGCCCUUAAGCUUUACAUGUGUUAGACGAACGGUCUGGAAAGUCCGACGAUACAGGGUGAUAGUCCCGUAGUUGACGAUGCAUGUUCAGUGAAAUCGAGUAGGGCGGGACACGUGUUAUCCUGUCUGAAUAUGGGGGGACCAUCCUCCAAGGCUAAAUACUCCUGACUGACCGAUAGUGAACCAGUACCGUGAGGGAAAGGCGAAAAGAACCCCUGUGAGGGGAGUGAAAUAGAACCUGAAACCGUGUACGUACAAGCAGUAGGAGCACCUUCGUGGUGUGACUGCGUACCUUUUGUAUAAUGGGUCAGCGACUUAUAUUCAGUGGCAAGGUUAACCAUCUAGGGGAGCCGUAGGGAAACCGAGUCUUAACUGGGCGCCAUAGUCUCUGGAUAUAGACCCGAAACCGAGUGAUCUAGCCAUGGGCAGGUUGAAGGUUGAGUAACAUCAACUGGAGGACCGAACCGACUAAUGUUGAAAAAUUAGCGGAUG
rnacentral:rRNA from 1 species